ACGAUAAGGGCGGUGUCUCAUUUGGUAAUAUUUCUCAAUCAGCCGAUCCUGCACAUAGAUACCCAUAAAAGAACCAAAGCAUUUCGAACAUUUCAAAGUCAAAGAGAAAUAUUACGCAUUUAAUAUAUUUUUAAAAACACGUUUUCUAAACACGGAAUUAUUAUAACAGUCGGAAAAAGUACCAGAAAAAUGUUAGAAAUACGCAUUGUGUUCCAAAUCCUAUGUUUCAUGUCCGUGUUCCUUUUACCUGAGACUGCCUCACAAUCAACACUGCAUGAUAACACCGACAUAACAACAGACUUUACAACACAAGGGAACCCUACAGCUACAGACACUGAAACUGUUGCAAACACUUCAACUACAGCUACAGUAUACACAAAUCUUGGGAAUACUUCAACUGCAGCUACAGAAAUUACAACUCCUGGAAACACUUCAACUACAGCUACAGUAUACACAACUCUUGGGAAUACUUCAACUGCAGCUACAGAAAUUACAACUCUGGCAAACACAACUACGGCUUCAGUACACACAACCUUUGGGAAUACUUCAACUGCAGCUACAGAAAUUACAACUCUUGCAAACACAACUACGGCUUCAGUAUACACAACCUUUGGGAAUACUUCAACUGCAGCUACAGAAAUUACAACUCUUGCAAAUACAACUACGACUUCAGUAUACACUACCCUUGGGAAUACUUCAACUGCAGCUACAGAAAUUACAACUCCAGGAAACACUUCAACUACGGCAACAGUAUAUACAACUCUUGGGAAUACUUCAACUACAGCUACAGAAAUUACAACUCUUGGAAAUACUUCAACUACAGCUACAGUAUACACAACUCUUGGAAAUACUUCAACUGCAGCUACAGAAAAAACAACCCCAGGAAACACUUCAACUACGGCUACAGUGUACACAACACUUGGGAAUACUUCAGCUGCAGCUACAGAAAUUACAACUCUUGCAAACACAACUACGGCUUCAGUAUACACAACCUUUGGGAAUACUUCAACUGCAGCUACAGAAAUUACAACUCUUGGAAAUACUUCAACUGCAGCUACAGUAUACACAACUCUUGGAAAUACUUCAACUGCAGCUACAGAAAAAACAACUCCAGGAAACACUUCAACUACGGCUACAGUGUACACAACACUUGGGAAUACUUCAACUACAGCUAUAGAAAUUACAACUCUGGCAAACACAACUACAGCUUCAGUAUACAUAACCCUUGGGAAUACUUCAACUGCAGCUACAGAAAUUACAACUUUUGCAAACACAACUACGGCUUCAGUAUACACAACCUUUGGGAAUACUUCAACUGUAGCUACAGAAAUUACAACUCUUGCAAAUACAACUACGACUUCAGUAUACACUACCCUUGGGAAUACUUCAACUGCGGCUACAGAAAUUACAACGUUAGGAAACAUUUCAACUACGGCUACAGUAUACACAACUAUUGGGAAUACUUCAACUACAGCUAUAGAAAUAACAACUCCUGGAAACACUUCAACUACGGCUACAGUAUACACAACCUUUGAGAAUACUUCAACUGCAGCUACAGAAAUCACAACUCUUGGAAACACUUCAACUACAGCUACAGUGUACACAACUCUUGGGAAUACUUCAACUGCAGCUACAGAAAUCACAACUCCUGGAAACACUUCAACUACAGCUACAGUGUACACAACUCUUGGGAAUACUUCAACUGCAGCUACAGAAAUUACGACUCUUGGAAACACUUCAACUACAGCUAUAGUGUACACAACUAUUGGGAAUACUUCAACUGCAGCUACAGUAAUUACGACUCUUGCAAACAAUUCAACUACAGCUACAGUAUACACAACUCUUGGGAAUACUUCAACUGCAGCUAUAGAAAUUACCACUCUUGGAGACACUUCAACUACAGCUAAAGUGUACACAACUAUUGGGAAUACUUCAACUGCAGCUACAGAAAUUACAACUCUUGGGAACACUUCAACUACAGCUACAGUAUACACAACUCUUGGGAAUACUUCAACUGCAGCUACAGAAAUUACAACUCCUCCUCGAAACACUUCAACUACAGCUACGGUAUAUACAACUCUUGGGAAUACUUCAACUGCAGCUACAGAAAUUACAACUUUUGGAAACACUUCAACUACAGCUACAGCAUACACAACUCUUGGGAAUACUUCAACUGCAGCUACAGAAACUACAACUCCUGGAAACACUUCAACUACGGCUACAGUGUACACAACUCUUGGGAAUGUUUCAACUUCAGCUAGCACAACAGCACCACCUACAGUUCCGACUGGGAUUUCUACAGUUAUAUCUACAAAUGAGCCUGGUAGCUCUCCAAAAGCAACUUCCACAGCAUCUAUUGAAACAACUACAAUAACAGCGUAUCCGACAUUUCCUCCGAAUACAGCUAAUGUAGUAUAUGUCUUCGAGUUUCAAAUGACUAUCAUGGCUACAUACGAACCAAAUCUAAACGAGGACACUAACUUCACAAACUCCCUAAAUAUAACGCUUAGACAGAACGUCUUCAAAGAUAUACCUGGUUUCAGUUUCAAAUUCUCCUUCCGACCUGGCAGUAUAAAAGCAUCUAUUGAAACAGAGAUGAAAAGUUCAGAGCUAAAGGAAAGCAAUUUAACUAUUUCUGAUGCCCUAGACCUGAUAAAGAAUAAUACUGAAACAAACAAAGACUCACUGAACACAACUAAGGGAAAAGUUAAUGCCAGUGCCUUCGUCGAAAAUGUAAAAAAUACAGUGGCGAAGUACACAGAUGAGGAAGACAAGUGUUUGUACGAGAGAAAUGUAUGUCCUCCAUCAUUCGUUUACACGUGCAGAAAUAGCGGAACAGGCACGUGCAAACACAAGUGUGACCAAACGAGUGAUUAUUGUGGAGAAAAUGGUCAGUGUUUUUUUGACACGGCCAAUAAUGUUAAAGCUUGCAGAUGUAAAAGUACCUCGUUUCAUGUGUAUCAUGGGGACCGUUGUGAGGAAUCAACGGCGACCAAGGAGUUUGUGUUAGCGGUAUCUCUCGGUGCUGGCGGCGGAAUAAUUCUAAUAUUGUUCUUGAUAAUCAUCUGCAUGUGCGCUAGAAGACGUGCAAACUCGAAAAAUAAUCUCAGUGGGUAUGGGGAAUCAGAAUGGGAGUUACCAGCAAAUGAAGUAGCACUAAAAGACCUCAGCCUUAGAUCCGGUGCUGAUAAAACCGGACCUCUGUACGGAAGAUAUCACCGCCAGCCGGGGCAUAUCAACCAGGCAUACGAACCGGUUUUCACUGGAAGUGGUCGUGGCGGACCGUCAGUGUAUCUUCCGGGAGACAAUGACCAGGGUUCGAGUUCAAACACCGCACAGUAUUAUUCUACAAUAGAUCCUGCAGCAGACUCUGAAGCAAAAGAAAGUAGUCGAACUCAAACUGUUUCCGCAAGUAUUCCAUAAAACGACCUCAUGUGUCAUCCCAGCCUAGUGACGUUUACAACAGUAUAUAUUUCGAUAAUACAACAGAAUCACCUGGUGAUACACCAAGACCUCUGAUAACUGACAUGAAGACAACAUUGUGAAUAUGCAUGU
rnacentral:misc_RNA from 1 species